rnacentral:rRNA from 1 species
UUGCAGUUAAAAAGCUCGUAGUCGGAUGUCAGUAUGAGGCCCUUCUUCCAAUAUGGUUGCUAGUGGUCUUUACUUCCUUAACAGAAUCUUUCAUCUCAUUAAUUUGGGGUGUUUGGGGCCUGUUUCUUUUACUUUGAGAAAAUUAGAGUGUUCAAAGCGGGUUUUCGCCUGGAUAUUACUCUUGGAAUAAUAAUAUAGGACUUUGGUUCUUUUUUGUUGGUGACUUAGAACCGAAGUAAUGAUUGAUAGGGACAGUUGGGGUCAUUCGUACUAUGAAGCGAGAGGUGAAAUUCUUGAACCUUUGUAUGACGAACUACUGCGAAAGCAUUUGACUAGGAUGUUCCCGUUGAUCAAGAACGAAAGUUGGGGGAUCGAAGACGAUCAGAUACCGUCGUAGUCUCAACCAUAAACUAUGCCAGCUAGGGAUUGGAGGAAGAUCAUUUUACGUCUCCUUCAGCACCUUAUGAGAAAUCAAAGCAUUUGGGUUCCGGGGGGAGUAUGGUCGCAAGGCUGAAACUUAAAGGAAUUGACGGGAGGGCACCACCAGGAGUGGAGCCUGCGGCUUAAUUUGAUUCAACA